rnacentral:rRNA from 1 species
AGAACUAACUGGAUUCCCGUAGUAGUGGCGAACGAAGUGGGAGAGCCCGCGAUGUUAUCCGUUUCUGACGGAGUUGUGCAUCGAGGUURYAGCUAUUGAGAAACUGGGAAGAAGAUGCCUGGAAAGGCACGCCAGAGAAGGUGACAGCCCUGUUCUUAUUCCAGCCAUUCUCAUGUACAGCUGUAAUCUAAUGAGUCACGCUCUUUGGGAGUAGAGCGCAAAAUGGGUGGUAACCUCCAUCCACGGCUAGAUAACGGUGAGAGAUCGAUAGCAAACAAGUACCGUGAGGGAAAGUUGAAAAGCACUUCGAAAGGAGAGUUAAAAUACCUGAAAUCGCUGAGGGGGAAGCGGCUGUCCGUGACCCAAUGUUUGAGAGAUUUCUCUCAUUACAUUACUCGACAUCACUUCCGUAUGUUACGACUUGUUAUCGCUUCGGYUAUGRCAAAGCUCUURACAUCGAGAAGUGUGGUACGCCWUUGYAAGUUGUCGAGAGUGGCAUGUACAGACGACCCGUCUUGAAACACGGACCAAGGAGUUAAACGAAAGUGCGAGUGUAAGGGUGUCAAACCCAGACGCGUAGUGAAAGCAAAAGCUGUGAAUUMCAAUGCAACAGCAGCCGACUCUUGAAGUUCGAGCCUGAGCAUUUUCGUUUAGACCCGAAAGAUGGUGACCUAUACCUGAGUUGGGUGAAGCCAGGGGAAACCCUGGUGGAAGCUCGUAGCGAUACUGACGUGCAAAUCGUUCGUCAAACUUGGGCAUAGGGGCGAAGACUAU